GAUGAACGCUGGCGGCGUGCCUAAUACAUGCAAGUCGAGCGAACGGACGAGAAGCUUGCUUUUCUGAUGUUAGCGGCGGACGGGUGAGUAACACGUGGAUAACCUACCUAUAAGACUGGGAUAACUUCGGGAAACCGGAGCUAAUACCGGAUAAUAUUUUGAACCGCAUGGUUCAAAAGUGAAAGACGGUCUUGCUGUCACUUAUAGAUGGAUCCGCGCUGCAUUAGCUAGUUGGUAAGGUAACGGCUUACCAAGGCAACGAUGCAUAGCCGACCUGAGAGGGUGAUCGGCCACCCUGGAACUGAGACACGGUCCAGACUCCUACGGGAGGCAGCAGUAGGGAAUCUUCCGCAAUGGGCGAAAGCCUGACGGAGCAACGCCGCGUGAGUGAUGAAGGUCUUCGGAUCGUAAACCUCUGUUAUUAGGGAAGAACAUAUGUGUAAGUAACUGUGCACAUCUUGACGGUACCUAAUCAGAAAGCCACGGCUAACUACGUG
rnacentral:rRNA from 1 species